CUUAAAUGUUAUGGCAUUGGGGAGCUUUAUCCAAAGUCAAGUCACAAGUGGCAACACCUGUAUUCGUCUUUGUAACAUCAUAGUUCAUAGUAGUACACGUGACACGUAUACAUACAUGACGGCAUAUAUACCAAGUCUUUCUGCAGAGAGCAGAUCGAACUCACACUGUACCAAGUACUGGGAGUGGUACGUCUCCGUUUAUUAUUCUCGAGCAAUACUAAACUCUGCCCAAAGGUGCUCAAGUAGUAGCAUGAUCGAUCGAUCGAGCAGGAUGGAUCGACAUCGACCUGAUGGGGCGGCAGACGACUCACUCAGCAUCAGCACCUGGGCAGGGACACCUUACAGGCGGCGAAGACCUUCUUGCCGUUGGGGGAGUUGACGUAGCGCUGCAUGCUGGGGUUCCUCUUGUACUGGCAGAAGCAGGUCGCCGGGUGCGCCUUGAGCCUGGCGCAGCACGCCGCGGUGGGCGCCGCGUUCCCGACGAUGGCGGGCGCGCACGGGGUCAGCUGCGUCGGCGCGCACGUCGUCGCGGCGCCGGCCGGGGCCAGCGCCAGCAGGCUCGCCGCCGCGAGCGCCGCCAGGAACAGCGCGACACGCGCCUUGCUCUCCGCCAUGCCGCCGCUUGGACACUUCGCUGCUGCGGGUGCGGUGGUCGUUUUGGUCUGUGGUGUGGUGCUGGGUGCUGCCUGCGUGCUGUGGAGA
rnacentral:misc_RNA from 1 species